UACAGAGGGGGCACGCGUUAUUCGGCAUUAUUGGGCGUAAAGCGCGUGUAGGCGGCUUUGCAAGUCGGGUGUGAAAGCCCUCAGCUCAACUGAGGAAGUGCGCCCGAAACUGCAGAGCUUGAGUACCGGAGAGGGUGGCGGAAUUCCCCAAGUAGAGGUGAAAUUCGUAGAUAUGGGGAGGAACACCGGUGGCGAAGGCGGCCACCUGGACGGUUACUGACGCUGAGACGCGAAAGCGUGGGGAGCAAACAGG
rnacentral:rRNA from 1 species